GACGAACGCUGGCGGCGUGCUUAACACAUGCAAGUCGAGCGAUGAAGCUCCUUCGGGAGUGGAUUAGCGGCGGACGGGUGAGUAACACGUGGGUAACCUGCCUCGUAGAGGGGAAUAGCCUUCCGAAAGGAAGAUUAAUACCGCAUAAGAUUGUAGUUUCGCAUGAAACAGCAAUUAAAGGAGUAAUCCGCUAUGAGAUGGACCCGCGUCGCAUUAGCUAGUUGGUGAGGUAACGGCUCACCAAGGCGACGAUGCGUAGCCGACCUGAGAGGGUGAUCGGCCACAUUGGGACUGAGACACGGCCCAGACUCCUACGGGUGGCUG
rnacentral:rRNA from 1 species